UGGAGAGUUUGAUCCUGGCUCAGGAUGAACGCUAGCGGCAAGGCUUAACACAUGCAAGUCGAGGGUAACAGGAAAAAGCUUGCUUUUGCUGACGACCGGCGAACGGGUGCGUAAACGCGUUAUGCCAAUCUGCCUUGUACAGGAGGAUAGCCUUUAGAAAUGAAGAUUAAUACUCCAUAAUGUAGAGAAGUGGCAUCAUUUUUUUACUAAAGAUUUAUCGGUACAAGAUGAGCAUGCGUCCUAUUAGCUAGAUGGUAAGGUAACGGCUUACCAUGGCAACGAUAGGUAGGGGGUCUGAGAGGAUUAUCCCCCACACUGGUACUGAGACACGGACCAGACUCCUACGGGAGGCAGCAGUGAGGAAUAUUGGUCAAUGGAGGCAACUCUGAACCAGCCAUGCCGCGUGCAGGAAGACUGCCCUAUGGGUUGUAAACUGCUUUUAUACAGGAAGAAACAGUCGUACGUGUACGGCCUUGACGGUACUGUAAGAAUAAGCACCGGCUAACUCCGUGCCAGCAGCCGCGGUA
rnacentral:rRNA from 1 species